AGAGAAAUAUUUCUAUGGAUCUAUUCUUAUUGAUUCUUGAGAAGUUUCACAUGUGAAGUCUUGGGACUCCUCUGUCUUCAACUAAAAGGGGAAAGCCUGAGGCCUGUUUGCUGAGCUGGAGUGGGGUUGGUGGAAAGUCUGUAACUGCCGACCUCAAAGGCUCUGGGCUAACAAAGACAGCACAGCUCCUCAGAACUCAGACUGCUCUUCUUCCAUUGUACCCUCAGGACACUUAACGGGUUCUGCUGAGAGUUUCAUAGCCAGAACACCAGCUGUGCUCUGACCAUUUGCUCUGAUAGUGGAGAUGACCAGAAAAAUGGGGCUUGAAUCUUGAGAUUUUUGAAGAGGCUCUGAAGAUCUUUCCUGGCCAGAGUGUCCUGCGAGUUCCCAGGGAAUGCCUGCUGGAGUUGGGACCAGGGCAGUGAUGAGUGUGGGGAAUAAAGGCUGUCCUAUGAAAGACACGGCUAUGCCAGGCUCCUGACCUGAUACCAGCACAAGGGCCUGCCUUGUCCUGUGAGAUUCCUUUUCCAGGAGACAUCCUGUUCAAGUGCCUGCUGACCUGGAAUCAGUGGAAUCGCCUGUGUGCUUGCCUGGCUUCUGCAGCCUAGUCUAGGAUUUUUAAGUUGGUCAGCUGACACAGUUUCUUGGAAAAAUUUUGCUUGUUUGUCUUUUAAUAUAUACGUGUAAAUAAUAUGGCCACAGCAUGCUUGUUUUAUGUCUGUGUGUGUAUGUGUGCUUGUUUUAAGAUUUGUAAAACUUAUAACUCCAGAUUACAACAGCUCUACAAGCAUGUAGACAGCCAUUAUUUUUGGUUGCGGCCAAAACAGAAACCUCAGUGCCAUCUUUGGUAAGAGUACCCAUGUGUGCUAGACCUACCAAGGAGAUAUUCUGCCUCCAAUAUGCUUUGGCUUACUAAAAUAUUCCUUCUAAUUUUGCCUCUACUGAUAUUGGUAAGCUGUAACUGAUUGGGUAAACUAUAUGCCUAAAUUUAACUUACAUAUCUAGUUUAGAUAUACCUGACAGGUAAUGGUACCCUAUAGAUAUACCUGACAGGUAAUGAUACCCUAAUUUUAAAGUGCCUUUACAGAUCUGAUAGUAUGGCCAGUUCCUGCAGCAUCCUAUAGCUCCUUCAAGAAGAUACAUGGUUGCAGAAGACCUUCUGCCUGGAGGCUUGCCUUUGUGUACGGCAAAGCUACCCACACGCAAAAAACUACCUUCCACCUCAUCAGCUUCCUGGACACUACAUUGGGGGAUCGAUCAUCUUAUCCUGCCAAGACAGGUAGACUGAGCCCUAUCCAUACAGAAAAAUCUGUCAGGUCUCCUGGGCUCAGCAUCUAAAGACAAGUACUGCUUCUAAGACUGGUAUUUGCCAAAGACCAUGGAGAGACUUGGGACUUCCUGUGUAGCUAAAAAAGCUGUCUCACUUCUGCUCAUUUACUUCUCCCUCCCAAAUCUGUUUGAUGGCACUUGAUGACUUAAGGUACUGGUAGCUCAUUACUUCAUUUGUAAAGUUUCAUGCCAAAAAUACAGACAGGUGUACCUCUUAUACAGGCUUCAUAGUCCAAAAUUAACAGGUUUCAGAUGUAUCUUCAGAGGAUCAGAGUUUCCAAUUUCCCUUAGUUGUCUUCUGAAAUGGUUGUACUUUUUAACCAAAAGCCAUAGCCUUUUGCUAUGAUACCAAGAUGUAAAUAUGUUCCAGUUGUCUUACAGAUACCUGCAGGUUCCUGGGAAAAGUUCUGAUGCUGUCAAGAAAUCUGGUCUGGUAAAACCAAUCUCCAGAGCCCAUUUUGACCCCACCUAUUUUCAAGCAAAUCUUAUAGGUCACUCCUGUCUGGGUCAAGACUGACCUGCAGAGGGCUCUCCAGAUAAUACCUGCACCUUCACCAGCUCAUGGGUCUUCACCAUUAAUACCACCUCUCCAGGCUCAAAUGGGACCUACACAGCAACUGAAAUCUGGCUUUAAAGGACAUAUCUGCUCUCAUCUCAUUCCGUCACCCUUGCCUCUGUGGUACAACCAGGACACUUCUCUGUCCCAUUCUUUCUGACAGUUAAUCACCCUUCCCAUGGCUAGCCCCAUCCAUAAGGCCAUUAAUAACAACCUAUUUUCCCCCUAGCAACCUGUCUUCUCAUUUCCCCCAAGGAACAGAUGCCUGAGGUCUCCAGGAUGACAGUUAACUGGAUGCCUCUUCAGCCACACCUCCUGCUAAGUGUGAGCCCACCAACUCCAAACUCUCCCCUCUCUUACAUUGCCCCAUACUUGCAGGAAGUAGCCAGACUUGAGCCUGUGACCCUAUACCAAAAGAGUCUGGAAUGUUUGGUUGAAAGUAUCACCCCAGUCCCUGGCACCCAUAUACCCAAACAGUCUGGAAUCUUUGGGUUAAGGCUAUCCCACAGCCCAUGGCAUCCAUAUAUCCAAACAGUCUGGAAUGUUUGGGUAGAAGUUCCAUCCCAAUUCCCCUCCCUUGAGAGUUGUUGCAGUCCAGAUUCCACCUCUGAGAAAGACUGCCAAAUAAUGACCCUUCCUCAGAGAUGCUCAAGACCACUCCCACAGGGUAUUUUAAACAGCAACCCAGAGAGCAAACGUGGUUUUUCAGUCUUCCUUCCUCCUCUUCAUUCUGGGGGUUGGAAAGCCAUCCAGUAGCAUUGGUAUCCAUUACACUUGGGCUUUUUCUAAAUCGGUUUGAUUUGGUCUGAUUCAGAUUAUUGUGUCAGCGGAGAGGCUUAUUAGGGUGCAAAAACUUUUCAUUGAUGAUGUCAUGUGGUUAUUAAUAAUCACUUAUAUACAGAUCUGUAAUGAAAAGAAGCACACUGGACAAAGAGAAAUACAAAAUGUACAGUUAGAAGAGAAAAGGAGUACCAUGAAAUGUGACUGAGCUAAGUCAAGUGUUCAAGUAGAUAAAGAGUUUAAAGAAAAGCCUGAUUCUAGAUGGGAUAAAGGUAGUGGUGAGGCAGGGCAAGACCCCACCUAGUUAAGCUUCCAACUUAUGAAAAAGAAUUAAAAGAAAGCUUAAACAGUGAGGGAAGCCAUCAACAACACAAAGGUGAUGUAAAUAUGAUUGAAGGAGGGAGCCAAAUUCCAGCCCCAGCAAGCAGCAGAACUAGGCAGCUUUGGUAAUGUGGUUCUGUCUUUAGAGUCAAGGAUACAAGGCAGGGGCUGUGGAACCUUCCUUCAUGACUAAGGAAAGCCACUGAGGGAAGACCUGUGUCAUGGAGGCCUACAGAGGUCAUUGUGUGUAGCUGUGAAGAUGAAGCUAAAUUGUAUUUGUUACCAGUGCCAAAGGUCUCUUCAGAUCUACAGCUCCUCUCAGCCUAUUUGACUGCAAUACACUUCUCUCUCUUGGGCUGGUUCCAUCCCCUAUUAGCAGCUCUUCUUGACAGUUAGCCUGCUGUUCUGGCCUCCCCAACAUCUUAGAGUCAGGGUACCCUGCCCUGUUGGAAGUCCAAGGCCCUCCCCCCUCCA